rnacentral:rRNA from 1 species
GGUGGCGAGUGGCGAACGGGUGAGUAGUACAUCGGAACGUAUCCUGUAGCGGGGGAUAACCUCUCGAAAGAGAGGCUAAUACCGCAUACGACAUACGGGUGAAAGAGGGGGAUCGCAAGACCUCUCACUAUUGGAGCGGCCGAUGUCGGAUUAGCUAGUUGGCGGGGUAACGGCCCACCAAGGCUACGAUCCGUAGCUGGUCUGAGAGGACGACCAGCCACACUGGAACUGAGACACGGUCCAGACUCCUACGGGAGGCAGCAGUGGGGAAUUUUGGACAAUGGGCGCAAGCCUGAUCCAGCCAUGCCGCGUGAGUGAAGAAGGCCUUCGGGUUGUAAAGCUCUUUCGGCGGGGACGAAAAGGUCUGUGUUAACACCACGGAUCCAUGACGGUACCCGCAGAAGAAGCACCGGCUAACUACGUGCCAGCAGCCGCGGUAAUACGUAGGGUGCAGGCGUUAAUCGGAAUUACUGGGCGUAAAGCGUGCGCAGGCGGUUUACUAAGACAGGUGUGAAAUCCCCGGGCUUAACCUGGGAACUGCGCUUGUAACUGGUAGGCUUGAGUGUGGCAGAGGGGGGUGGAAUUCCAGGUGUAGCAGUGAAAUGCGUAGAUAUCUGGAGGAACACCGAUGGCGAAGGCAGCCCCCUGGGCUAACACUGACGCUCAUGCACGAAAGCGUGGGGAGCAAACAGGAUUAGAUACCCUGGUAGUCCACGCCCUAAACUAUGUCAACUGGUUGUCGGGGAAGCAAUUCCUUGGUAACGAAGCUAACGCGUGAAGUUGACCAAU